AGGUGGAGCGCCAGAUCUUGGCCUGUUUCCCCCAGCACCCUGAGCUCUGGGGCCUGCACCACUGGAAUCGCGCUCCUGGGCUGCGCAGCCCCCU
rnacentral:pre_miRNA from 1 species